CACGUAGGGGGCGAGCGUUGUCCGGAAUUAUUGGGCGUAAAGGGUUCGUAGGCGGUAAUACAUGUCAGAUGUGAAAUCUUGUGGCUUAACCACAUCAAGCAUCUGAAACUGUAUAACUUGAGUGGAGGAGAGGUAAGUGGAAUUCCUAGUGUAGCGGUGAAAUGCGUAGAUAUUAGGAAGAAUACCAGUAGCGAAGGCGACUUACUGGCCUCUAACUGACGCUGAUGAACGAAAGCGUGGGUAGCAAACAGGAUUAGAUACCCCGGUAGUCCCU
rnacentral:rRNA from 1 species